rnacentral:rRNA from 1 species
CUAGUAAUGGCAGGUCAGCAUACUGCCGUGAAUACGUUCCCGGGCCCUUGUACACACCGCCCGUCACACCAUGAGAGUUGGGAAUACCCGAAGCCUGUGAGCUAACAUAACGAGGCAGCAGUCGAAGGUAGAAUCAAUGAUUGGGGUGAAGUCGUAACAAGGUAGC